GGGCCCGCACAAGCGGUGGAGUAUGUGGUUUAAUUCGAUGCAACGCGAAGAACCUUACCAGGGUUUGACAUCCUGCGAAUCUCUUGGAAACAGGAGAGUGCCUUCGGGAACGCAGUGACAGGUGGUGCAUGGCUGUCGUCAGCUCGUGUCGUGAGAUGUUGGGUUAAGUCCCGCAACGAGCGCAACCCACGUCUUUAGUUGCCAGCAUUUAGUUGGGCACUCUAGAGAGACUGCCGGUGAUAAACCGGAGGAAGGUGUGGAUGACGUCAAGUCAUCAUGCCCCUUACAUCCUGGGCUACACACGUACUACAAUGCUACGGACAAAGGGCAGCAAGUUCGGAUUGUAGGCUGCAACUCGCCUGCAUGAAGUUGGAAUUGCUAGUAAUCGCUGGUCAGCCAUACA
rnacentral:rRNA from 1 species